GUCCACUCCCAUCUGUUAUCUCUGGCCAAGGAGCAGUUUGAAACUCGCUACACACCAUGGCUGCAGUGGACCGCCUUUCCAGAGUUAUUUCCUGAAAUACUUGAUGCUUUGGAAAGCCUUCAGUCUCCCGCUGUUUCUCUUAGCUUGAUGAAGCUGACAGCGUGUCUGGAACGGGCUUUGGGUGAUGUAUUUUUCCUGAAUGGGAAGGAAUGUCCUUUUCUUCUGAGAGAUCUGCUUGCGUCUCAGGAGCUUGCCCGGGUCUUCGGGCAGUCUGUGAUGGACGUACUGAAAGUCUUCGUUGGAUCUCCACGUGGGCUCAAUCUGCGUAACGUCCUGUGGCACGGGUUUGCGUCCCCUCAAGAAAUCCCUCCCAAGUACUGUUCGAUGAUGGUGCUGCUGACGGCGGGCUUGGGUCAGCGGCUGCAGAGUCACCUGCAGCAAACUCAGCUCACGCUGGUGCACCGACCUUUCAGAGCUCUUCCGAACCUUGAGGAUCUGGCCGUUUUCCCGGAUGUGACUUCUGAGGGACUUUCAGUGUUAGAAGAAGUGAUGAAGAAAUCCACUUUUGUAUUAAAAAUCAUGUUGCCGUACUGGGAAGAUGCAUUAAUGAAGUUCAAGUCGCACAGGUUUGCCGACUGUGCCGUGCUGUUGCUGCCGCAGCUGGAGAUGGGGCUCAGGAGAGUCUUUGCCGCCCUGAACAGGUGUCCCCAGAGACUUCUGACGGCCGAGUCAACAGCUCUUUAUACCACCUUCGAUGAAAUAUUGGCAGAGCACUUGGAUGAUGGCAGACUCAAUCAGCUCCCCGUUUUCCUUGGAGAGCCCACAAUGGAGUUCCUUUGGGAUUUCCUGAACCAUCAGGAGGGUCCUCGCGUAAGAGACCAUUUGAGCCACGGGGAAAUUAACUUCCCCGAAUUUCCGAAAGAAGCAGCGAACCAGUUGCUCGCGUUUUCCACUGUGCUUUUACUCCGAUUCAUCGAUGAAGACCUGUUGUCAGUGCUCAAGGAAAGGGCGGUGGUGCAGUCGCUGGUCCGUCCCGCACAAGGCUACAGCGCCCGCUUCCACCCCGUGUCUCAGCUGAAAAAACAGCAGGUGCUGAGCUGUGAGAAGAGCAUCGGCCUUUGGCCCCUCCUGUCUUUGCCAGAAGAAGCUGAGGAGGCUGCCAGAGCAGGUCACUCCGAGGUGGAUGCCUGCAACUCUGUGGUUACAGAAAUCAUGUCUGAGCUGUGUCACCACCUGCCUGAGGGUCUCCGUGCUGCCGGUGACGUGGGCAGCCUUCCCGUGGAGAGGUGGCCCCAGGUGAUCCGUGAACUCUGCGGCAUCCCGGUCCCGACGCUGUUCUGUCCCAGAGCCGUGCUGGAGGUGCUCGCCGUGCUCCGAAGCAUCAGCGCGCACUGCGCCCGCGUGUCCGGCCAGGUGGCCGCCUCGGCCGAGCUGCGACGGCGGCAGUGGGCGGAACGGAGGCUGCGCUCCCGCCAGAGGCAGACGUACCUGCGCAUGCUGAGCAGUAUUAAGCUUCUGUCUCCUGUGCUUUACCUGAUUUUAUUGCUGAUUGCACUGGAAUUGGUCAACAUUCAUGUGGUUCGUGGAAAAACUACUUAUGAAUAUCAGCAGUAUCUAAAGUUCUUAAAGUCGAUCCUGCAGUACACAGAGAACCUGGUGGUCUACACCAGCCAACAGAGGAACAAGUGGAGUGAAGCGAUCACUCUGACACGGACGGCUCUGGUGAAGGGCUCCCUGUGCUGCCGCAGUCGUCUGAUCAUCUGGGAGACCCGCCGUCUGUCUCCGUGGCAGCUGCAGAGCCGGCAGCUGUCGGGGCCCCCGCGAGGCUGUCCCGGACCCCAGGUCUGCGUGCGCGCUAGGCCACGCACGGUGGACCACGGACUCCUCCCUGCCUUCCAGACCAGCCAGCAGGGUCUAACCCACAGCCCUCCAAGGAAGGACAUGCAGUACGUGUGCUUCUGGCUGCUUUGCUGUCUGAGAGCAGUGCCGAGGAGACCCUGAAGGGAAGGGACGGUGCUGUGGGAUGACAGACAUUCCAGCACAUUCCGUCCAUCCCUUUGCCAACUCGGUACCCUUGCCCUACCUUUCUUAAACUAAACUCCUGGGUGAAGACUGAGCACCGAGCUUCUGCCGCUGUGAUGCAGCCUUGCUGUGUGCAAGCGCAGACCCCGAGUCGCACGAGUCGGUGUCUGCUCCUAGGACUUGUUCUGUGGCAGUGUGGCCGUGGCUGCCUUGGCCAGACUCUGAGCGAGGAUGUAUAGGAUUGACCACUCUUAGCCCUGCUGGUGCUGGAGCUGGAAAGGAAAAGGGGAAAUACGAACUGAUGUAUGUACCAAACCCCUGACGAAGCAGGUGGGGUGCCUGUGCACCCGGUGAGCUGCAGAGACAGCUGGGGCAUUUCUCGGUUCCUAUCCGCACACGCCGCCCACAGGUGGACCGGCCCACCGGCCCACGAGGUAGCUGUGGCCUCCAGCACGGACUGAAGAACAGGAGAGGUGGCCGGCCCGCACGCAGGCCCGUGGAGGUUAUUCCAGGGGGAAGUCUUGCUUUUCUCAAACAAGAUGUCCAGCCAAAUUGCUUUCCCAAACCCAAGAGUUCUCUACCCAGCGAUGAAUGACCCAGCACUUAGGAGGCACAAAAAGGUGCAAUCGGAUUUUGUUCUAAAUCACAGAUUAUUUUCCCCACUUUUAUGCCUGCGAUUCCCAACUAUUUCAAGCUCGGACCUUAAGACUCAGCCGGCCUCCUGGACAGCUUAGUGCCAGCUCCUCGCGGCCGCCCUCCGCGUGGCCUCCUCCUCCCUGAGUCCUCCCUGAGUGCGCUCCUCUCGAUGAAGGGUAACUCCAGGACCCCCUGCCGGUCCAGGAGCGUCAGGGCAGACGCCUGCACGCGCCUCACAGUUCCCAGCAUCCUGCCACCUCCGUGCUGCCCGCACGGGUCCUCGUCACGGGCCGCUUGCUCGAGCCCUAGCUGUGCUCGCCGCCCCCGUCCGUCCUCUGGGCCAGAGAGCUGUGUUCCCCGGCCGCCAGUCAGUCACAUUAUUCCUCUAAAUAAACACCUCUGUGCACAGCA